GAGCGAGUGAAACAGUGCAGUGACUGAAGAGAAUUCUCUCCCGUUUCCCAUGAUUUAUCACAGGCGAGGUCACGGCAGGUUAAAAUACUUGAACGCCGCGAUAGCAUACGUCCUGGCAUGGUUUUAUGAGUAGUCAUUCAUAACAUAUUUGUCGCAAAGCAUAAUUUCCAAGAUAGAACCCUGAUCCACAUGCAGUUUUUUUUUUCACAGCAACAACACAGGCGCAGUAACUCCUUCGUGGAGACUGCUUCCAUUUUCACAAUGUCCAGCUCCACGCUAGAGCUUCGGGGAAAGGGACCGAGGAAGUGACUGGUUCGCCAACUGAAACUACAAAUCCUAGAGCUGCAACUAUAUUUUAUAAAUGGCCCUCGUUUGGUUCCUGCAUAACAAACAAUGUCUUCUCAUUGAUGGGGGCUGUUUCAUGCGCCUGCCUUUUUGGAGAAAGAAAACAACUUCUAGUCUCAGGCUUGUAUGAAUCCAGCACUGUUUUUCACAACUUGUUUUCGCCUCAGCGACUUGACAUGGCUCCCUAUCCAUCGCCGGUCCCCACGCUCCACGGUAACGAGAUUUUAAAAACUGUCCAUUUGGCUCCUUCCUGAGGUUUUACUCAUUUUGAAACUUUGCCACGCUGGCUGGCAUGUUUCACAUUUGCUUAUCUCUGAGCUUACUCCCAAGAGCUGCUGAACUUUCCCUUCCAUGUCACUAAGCUGGGACAGAGUGAAGACGGAGAGGAAAGAGUUACUGUCUCACAAGCUGUGACUUUGUCUGUCCAGAGUGGCCCUUGGAUGCAGCUCAUUAUUUGUGGAAAUAGUGUGUGCCACGGGCAAAAAUAACUUUUUAAAAAAAGCACAUCUCUGUACCCUCCUGAAGUCAUCUCAAAAUGAAGUCAAGAUUUCUCAUGAAACGGAGAGAGCUUUAUCAUGGCCCGAGUGGGUCCUUGAGUACUUGUCCCCGCCACAUUGUCUGCUCUGAGCAACCUGAGGGUCCAGACCAAGCUAAAAGAGGCUUCAUGAUGAGCCCUGGGACAGACAAGACUGGGAGCCUUGGUGAAAGGGAGGAGACCCUGUGUCCCCGGUUUUGCCAAGUCAGCCUGGCCCAUCCUCUGACGGCUAAAUCAACACUCUUUAUCCUGUGGCGACUGAUAACGCAUCCACCGCUUCCUGCCAAGGAGGAAAUCCUGAUGGGACAUUAUCAGGGGCGAGACAUCAUCCGUCAGCCGCCGUCACAGGAACCCAGGGCUCAUCCAGACCCCACGCCAAUCUUUCCGCCUUUAUCUGCGCUCCCCAAAUGCCUCAGCCUGUUUGCUGAUAGAGGAAUCCGGCAUCUCCUUUUCUCAAGGACCCGAAAAAGAUUCUUCGAUAGCAAGAAACUAAGCUCUCAGCUUCCCCAGCUCGCAAAGGAGAUGAUCUGAUCGGAGUCACUCAACAAACACGUGACAACCCUUUCUAUGUGCACGGGUGCCCGGCCGGAGCACUGGGGUUGCCGAGGGUCAGAGGAGAGACAAGAUUUCUGCUCGAGUGUCAGCAGUGGAGACAAAACAGACACACCAACAAAAACCCAGAUAACUCAAUAAGAUAAUUUUGGUUCACGAUAAGGGACUUUUAGAAAACCAAACAGAGAAAUUGAUAGAAAGUGGCGGGGAAGAGUGAGCCGCUUACAGUGGUCAGAGAAGCCCAUUCUGCAAAGCUGAUUCCUAAGUGAAUGGAGCCCAGGCAGGUAAAGAUCUGGGGGGGACGGUCCAGGCAGAGGGACCAGCGCGGGAGUGUGGGGCGUGCGUGAAAAGGAGAGGAGGCCAGUGUGACCGGAGAGCCGCACACAGGAGGGGACCGCAGUGAGAUGGGGAGUCAUGCAGGUGCCAGAUAUGGGGCAGCGGGCUUCAAAGCCAGCAAGGAGCAGGGGGCACAUGGAAAUUGGGCAGAGUAAGGCAAUUUUAAUAAAAGGAAUAUUUACAGAUGUGGGCUGAGAUAG
ensembl:lncRNA